rnacentral:rRNA from 1 species
UGGUGGAGCGAUUUGUUUGGUCAAUUCCGAUAACGAACGAGACUCUAGCCUACUAAAUAGUUCGGGGACCCCCACAAAGGGGCCCCGCUUCAACUUCUUAGAGGGACAGGUGGCGUUUAGCCACACGAGAUUGAGCAAUAACA